rnacentral:snRNA from 1 species
UUACUUACCUGGACGGGGUCAAUGGGUGAUCCUAAAGGCCCAUGGCCUAGAUGUGUGGCCUCCAUUGCACUUGGGAGGUGCACCUAUCUAAGGUCUCCUCUUAGUAGGAGAGCCUACGUCAUAAUUUGUGACAGUGGGGCCUGCGUUCGCGCGGCCCCUAC